GAAGCGAACCUGCGAAGGCAAGCGGAUCUCUUAAAGCCGUUCUCAGUUCGGACUGUAGGCUGCAACUCGCCUACACGAAGCUAGAAUCGCUAGUAAUCGCGGAUCAGCACGCCGCGGUGAAUACGUUCCCGGGCCUUGUACACACCGCCCGUCACACCAUGAGAGUCUGUAACACCCAAAGCCGGUGGGAUAACCUUUAUAGGAGUCAGCCGUCUAAGGUAGGACAGAUGAUUAGGGUGAAGUCGUAACAAGGUACC
rnacentral:rRNA from 1 species